rnacentral:rRNA from 1 species
UGGGGAAUCUUGCACAAUGGGCGAAAGCCUGAUGCAGCAACGCCGCGUGCGGGAAGAAGGCCCUCGGGUUGUAAACCGCUUUCAGAAGGAACGAAACUGACGGUACUUUCAGAAGAAGGUGCGGCCAACUACGUGCCAGCAGCCGCGGUGACACGUAGGCACCAAGCGUUGUCCGGAUUUAUUGGGCGUAAAGAGCUCGUAGGCGGUUCAGUAAGUCGGGUGUGAAAACUUUGGGCUUAACCCAAAGCGUGCAUCCGAUACUGCUGUGACUUGAGUACGGUAGGGGAGCGGGGAAUUCCUAGUGUAGCGGUGAAAUGCGCAGAUAUUAGGAGGAACACCGGUGGCGAAGGCGCCGCUCUGGGCCGAAACUGACGCUGAGGAGCGAAAGCAUGGGUAGCAAACAGGAUUAGAUACCCUUGUAGUCCCUGAGCGGGCUGGCAAGGCGCAU